rfam:Vigna radiata var. radiata cultivar VC1973A scaffold_43, whole genome shotgun sequence
UUUCCAUAAACUAAUGAGUAAGGAAAACAAAGCAAGCAGUGGGAGCUGUUUGCAGCACUCAUUCUGCUGUGCACAAAUUUUUUAAGGGGUUAUAGGCUGCCUUUGAGCAGCUGCUGCUUACAAAUGCUACUUAACUG